GGGGCUGUAGCUCAGUUGGGAGAGCGCUGCGUUCGCAAUGCAGAGGUUCGUGGGUUCGAGCCCCACCAGCUCCA
rnacentral:tRNA from 1 species